rnacentral:sRNA from 1 species
GGGUCUCAGUGGAAGCCAGCGCCAUCUAGUGGUGGCGAAUGACAUUGGGCCCUCUACAAGUAUGGAACACCAGAUGAAGUUGGAUGAAGCCUAACAUUGCCUGCCCUGAAGUCAUCAGUUGAAGCUCUCUUGCCUGAGGAUACCUGAAGUGAAAGUGACUACAGGUUAUGCUUGUGUUUGGUGAAGCCUAACAUUGCCUGCCCUGAAUCAUCAGUUGAAGCUCUCUUGCCUGAGGAUACCUGAAGUGAAAGGGACAGAGUCCCUGUUUCAUACCGGAGAAGGACGGCUUGCAGAGGAACUGAGUAUGGAACAUCAGAUGAAGUGGAUGAAGCCUAACAUUGCCUGCCCUGAAGUCAUCAGUUGAAGCUCUCUUGCCUGAGGAUACCUGAAGUGAAAGCUCUACAGAAAUUUAUCACUAAACACUGAGAUGUAGCAGAGAACCUACAAAGGAUAGAUAGCCUCAAUCUUUAAGGCUCAAUGAGAAUCACCACAAAGACAUUUUAUUCUUCCUGAAGAUGCCUUCUAUGAUAACUUUGCAUGGAGAAGCUGGGCUAUUCUGAGAUGUCGGUUGCCUGAACAAUUCUUAGGCCUCAGAAGGAUGGCUAGACAACAUCUUUAUAAUAAAGAGUUGAGUCAUGCAAAUGACCUACUAUAGGAAUCUCUUCAGGUAAUAACUACUAGUAGGAAAUACCUGAAAGAAGACUCUUCAGACUAAUAUCUCAUCACCAUAUAUUAUCCUAAAGCAUAUUCUGAAGAUGAUAUCUACAGUGAUGAGUUGGAGUCAUAGAUGGUGCCACUUCUUCAACCAGCUAUAUCACCAAAACAAUCUUCAUUAUACAUGAUGAUGCCUCUUUCCUGUGUAGCAGCAGACACCACCUUCAGAUAAGAAAUGCUUAAGGGAUUUAAAGCAGUUUUGACACACUGAUUCCUUUCCCCUACUUCUCUCAGAUCCAUUUUUCUUCAUUACCUGUUCAAGUAUAUGUCCUCAUUUAUGAACUCACCAGCUUAGGUGACUGAAAAACAAACUUCAUCAGGGUGACACGAUAAACAUGAUUAAUCAAGAUGUCAUGACCCAAUAAUAAGUAAGAUUUCACGGGAAAAUAAAUCUCUAUGCUGAGAAAUAUUAUCAAAAAGUGGGCUCAUGGACUUGCACAUAGGAUGGGAAGACAACUCUUUGGUAGAAAUCGGAAAGAAAAUGGUAACAUGUGCUGUAUGCCAAGAAUAAACAUCUGGAAUAAAACAUGAGGCAUGCCCUCUUGGAACCAGAACCUCACAUCUAUCAGAGAACUGUCAUCUGGCAUCACCCCUGCAGUCCAGUAGAGCACUAUUCCCAGCUGGGGACCGAACCCAGGGCCUUGCGCUUCCUAGAGAGGACAGUCUUGAAAAUCAUGCAAGGUCUCGCCUUAUUCCACACAAGAGCACUGUGCCCUUGUAUCCUCUGCACUUGCAAGUGAGGAUUCAAAUUCUGAGGCAGUGUUGGCAGCCCAGGUAAGCCAUGGUGCUGGUGAAAUUAAAUUAGUGACAGUUGUGUCCUGCCUGUGUCUGGGUCAAUGAUGACAACAAAAGUCAAGAACAGGAGGAUGACAUAAAAUACAUGCUCAAUAGGAUUACGCUGAGGCCCAACCAGGGAGCCAGGGUUACAAGCACUACUUAGUCUCUUUGAAGACCACUUGCAGGACUCAUCUGAGCUGCUCUGAUGCCCUUGUGCUCUUUCCCCUCUGUGGGAACCUGGACAAUCUUAGUGCAACUGUGCUGGCAAACACUACCUGCCAACUAGCACCUAGUGUCCUAAUCUGCUUGUGUGCAAGUCUGCAACACCAACCCUGUCAUCAUUACCCACUCUUCUCUGAUGUCUUGCAGUCAUCUGGCAUCACCCCUGCAGUCCAGUGGAUCCCUAUUCCCAAGUGAGUAAAAUGUUCACGAAUAAUGGAUUGAACUUCUUAUAAGAUAUUCUUCAGUAUUUUGACCAUUAAUUUCAGCCCCUCAAAGGUUUCUUAAUUAAAAAUAAUGCAAUACAAGUCAGAAAUGAAUUGUAAUUCUUUGUAUGUUCUGUCCCUUUGAACUGCACAAUUAAAAAGUUAAACAAAUUCCUUUCUACCUGUAGUUCAUACACCCAUAAAAUUGAAUUUCUUGGAUGAGAUCCUAGAUGAUACUAUCUACACAAAAGAAGGGAUCUGGAAUAUGAAUAUACCUUUUGAAUAUGGAAAAAUUUCAGUCCACACACAGGCUCACAAAACCAAGCUGUUCCACAGAGAUCGAUUUCCAAUGACAGGGGAACACAAGAGUAAGACUUUAGUUUAGAGAUGUAAAAAUUGGCGAUAUAUUUGCUGCAUCAAAAGAGACACCAAGAAUUGUUCCCCCAAAGAGAACUUGGCAAACUUUUUCACGAAACUCUCUGGCCACAGGAAACCUAGCAAGAAAGGGAGCUUGCAGUUGAAGGAGUGGUUUUGGCUACCAAUUCCCUUCCCUGUGUCCUCACAGUACUUCAUCCUUGAUCUUGCUAAAGUUUACUUCAGUAUUCAUGAGAAAACAAAUGCUAUCCAGGCGAUGGCUUCUGGAACGGGUGGGAGAGAGGAACGUGAUGUCACUGGGAUACUUGCAAACACCAACUGAUCUAGUCGCAGUAAUUUUGGUCAAAUUAUCAGUUUAUAUCACCUGGCAAUCACUGAGUGCUACCACUCAGGGUUUCAUGGCCUUAAUAGUAGUCGCUUUCUUUUGGGCAACUGAUUAUCUUCAGCAUUCACUUGCCAGCUGUGGAAACUGAUUGCUACCAUGAAGUAGGGACAUGGGGAGGAAUGAACAUAGCCUAGAACAUAAAAUUUGAGACGCACAGUCUCUUGAAAAUUUGUUUAAAGUAUAUGUAACGGUUCGUGAAUUGUCCUCCCAAUAUUACUCAGGGGACUUCACCUUUAUAUUGGUUUCUGACAAUGUUUAGCAAUUGAAAGACUUGAUUGGUGGAACUGAUCAAGAACAUGUGUGAUCUAAUUCCUCAAUGGUUUGGUUUUGAGUACCUAUUGACCUUAAUGAUCUCUUAGGGAAGUAACUUUCCAGGGUGUUAGGAAUGACAGCAUGGAAGUGGGAGUGGCAAGAGGGAUUCUGCUCAGUGGCAUCAUACAUUAGACUUCUUAUACUGUCUACUUAAAAUUAACAUGAUUGUAUGAACUGAAGGGAUACAAUUGCUCUCACAUCUUGCUCUUUCCUUUUUAGGGAGGACCUUCUUCAAAUUCAAGCUAGGUCUCCCCUUAUUCCACACAAGAACACUGUGCCCUUGUAUCCUCUUCACUGCAAGUGAGCAUUCAAAUUCUGAGGCAGUGUUGGCAGCCCAGGGAAGCCAUGGUGCUGGUGAAAUUACAUUAU